ACUCCUACGGGAGGCAGCAGUGGGGAAUAUUGCACAAUGGGCGCAAGCCUGAUGCAGCAACGCCGUGUGAGUGAAGAAGGUUUUCGGAUCGUAAAACUCUGUCCUAAGGGAAGAAAAAAUAGACGGUACCUUAGGAGGAAGCCCGGCCUAACUACGUGCCAGCAGCCGCGGUAAUACGUAGGGGGCGAAGCGUUAUCCGGAAUCACUGGGGCGUAAAGGGUGCGUAGGCGGCUUAGCAAGCCAGGGGUGAAAGGCAUUGGCUCAACCAAUGUAAGCCUUUGGAACUGUUAAGCUUGAGUGCAGGAGAGGUAAGUGGAAUUCCUAGUGUAGAGGUGAAAUUCGUAGAUAUUAGGAGGAACACCAGUGGCGAAGGCGACUUACUGGACUGUAACUGACGCUGAUGCACGAAAGCGUGGGUAGCGAACAGGAUUAGAUACCCUGGUAGGUCAGUC
rnacentral:rRNA from 1 species